GACUGCUAAUACCGCAUAACCCGCUAGUACCGCAUGGUACAGACGGAAAAGAUUUAUCGGUGUAAGAUGGACCCGCGUCUGAUUAGCUAGUUGGUGAGGUAACGGCUCACCAAGGCGACGAUCAGUAGCCGGCCUGAGAGGGUGAACGGCCACAUUGGGACUGAGACACGGCCCAAACUCCUACGGGAGGCAGCAGUGGGGAAUAUUGGACAAUGGGGGAAACCCUGAUCCAGCGACGCCGCGUGAGUGAAGAAGUAUUUCGGUAUGUAAAGCUCUAUCAGCAGGGAAGAAAAUGACGGUACCUGACUAAGAAGCCCCGGCUAACUACGUGCCAGCAGCCGCGGUAAUACGUAGGGGGCAAGCGUUAUCCGGAUUUACUGGGUGUAAAGGGAGCGUAGACGGCAAAGUAAGUCUGAAGUGAAAGCCCCGGGCUCAACCCGGGAACUGCUUUGGAAACUAUUUAGCUAGAGUGCAGGAGAGGUAAGUGGAAUUCCUAGUGUAGCGGUGAAAUGCGUAGAUAUUAGGAGGAACACCGGCGGCGAAGGCGGCUUACUGGACUGUAACUGACGUUGAGGCUCGA
rnacentral:rRNA from 1 species